AUUGAACGCUGGCGGCAGGCCUAACACAUGCAAGUCGAACGGAUCCUUCGGGAUUAGUGGCGGACGGGUGAGUAACACGUGGGAACGUGCCCUUUGGUUCGGAACAACUCAGGGAAACUUGAGCUAAUACCGGAUGUGCCCUUCGGGGGAAAGAUUUAUCGCCAUUGGAGCGGCCCGCGUCUGAUUAGCUAGUUGGUGAGGUAAAGGCUCACCAAGGCGACGAUCAGUAGCUGGUCUGAGAGGAUGAUCAGCCACAUUGGGACUGAGACACGGCCCAAACUCCUACGGGAGGCAGCAGUGGGGAAUCUUGCGCAAUGGGCGAAAGCCUGACGCAGCCAUGCCGCGUGAAUGAUGAAGGUCUUAGGAUUGUAAAAUUCUUUCACCGGGGACGAUAAUGACGGUACCCGGAGAAGAAGCCCCGGCUAACUUCGUGCCAGCAGCCGCAGUAAUAC
rnacentral:rRNA from 1 species